AUCCUGGCAACAAAUUUUCUUUGUUUUCCUUCAGCUGAGAAGGUCUUCCUUCCUGAAGGAUAUUUUCAGUUGGUAUAGAAUUGACUAUACUAAGUCAACUAUAGUUGACAGCUUUUUUCUUUCAACACUUGAAAAUUAUUGUGACACUUCCUUGUGGCCUCCAUAGUUUCUGAUGAGAAAUCCACUGUCAUUAAAGUUGCUUUUCCUCUGUAGUUUAUACGUGGGAUGCCUACCACAGCAUGGCUGCCAAGCAGUGCCAUGUCCGCACCCGGGAUCCGAACCAGCGAACCCCGGGCCGCCGAGAAGCGGAACGUGCGAACUUAACCGCUGCGCCACCGGGCCAGCCCCAAGGGAACCGAGAAGUAGAUGGAAGAGAUCAAGUGUGAUGGGAGUAGAGACACAACUGAAAACUCAGAGAUACUCUCAAGGCCAGCAAUCUCCGAGGACCAGAUCUUGGCUGGGUUCAGUGUGGUUCCUGCAGAAAGUAGGGGCCACCCUACAUGCCAAGUCUACCCUAAUCUCAUGUAUUUACAAAGCCUGGAUUGACACCAGAGAGACCCAGAAAAAUUCAACAUGUGAAGAAGCCUCCAAAUCAACUCAUUUUCAGAAGAAUCUUCCUUGAAUGGACUACUCCUGAAAGAAAUUUCCAACAAGGUGCAGAUGUGGGUAGAUAUCAGUUAGAAUCAUUGUAUUGGUUAUAAUGCUUCUGGUUGUAAGUAACAGAAAACUUAGUUCAAAUAAGCUUAAGCAGAAAGGGC
rnacentral:lncRNA from 1 species